rnacentral:rRNA from 1 species
GAGUUUGAUCGUGGCUCAGGACGAACGCUGGCGGCGUGCCUAACACAUGCAAGUCGAGCGGAGACAGUGAGUAGCUUGCUAUGAGCUGUUUUAGCGGCGGACGGGUGAGUAACGCGUGAGCAACCUUUCCCAGACAGGGGAAUAACACACCGAAAGGUGUACUAAUACCGCAUAAGACCACGGGAUCACAUGGUUCUGGGGUAAAAGAUUUAUCGGUUUGGGUGGGCUCGCGUCCGAUUAGGUAGUUGGUGAGGUAACGGCCCACCAAGCCGACGAUCGGUAGCCGACCUGAGAGGGUGAUCGGCCACAUUGGGACUGAGACACGGCCCAAACUCCUACGGGAGGCAGCAGUGGGGAAUAUUGGGCAAUGGGGGAACCCUGACCCAGCAACGCCGCGUGGAGGAAGAAGGUUUUCGGAUCGUAAACUCCUGUCCUUGGAGAC